rnacentral:rRNA from 1 species
ACGGGCACUUCGGUGCUAGUGGCAGACGGGUGAGUAACACGUGGGAACGUACCUUUCGGUUCGGAAUAAUUCAGGGAAACUUGGACUAAUACCGGCUACGCCCUUCGGGGGAAAGAUUUAUCGCCGAAAGAUCGGCCCGCGUCUGAUUAGCUAGUUGGUGAGGUAAAGGCUCACCAAGGCGACGAUCAGUAGCUGGUCUGAGAGGAUGAUCAGCCACAUUGGGACUGAGACACGGCCCAAACUCCUACGGGAGGCAGCAGUGGGGAAUAUUGGACAAUGGGCGAAAGCCUGAUCCAGCCAUGCCGCGUGAGUGAUGAAGGCCUUAGGGUUGUAAAGCUCUUUUGUCCGGGAAGAUAAUGACUGUACCGGAAG